CACCAAAGCUCCGAUUUUUUGACGAGCGCAUCUAUUAGAUUAAAACCAAUCGGGUUUCGGCCCGUCAAUUGGUGACUCUGAAUAACUAUGGCUGAUCGCAUGGUCUUGAACCGGCGACGUGUCUAUCAAGUGUCUGCCUUAUCAACUGUCGAUGGUAGUUUAUGUGCCUACCAUGGUUGUAACGGGUAACGGAGAAUAAGGGUUCGACUCCGGAGAGGGAGCCUGAGAAACGGCUACCACAUCCAAGGAAGGCAGCAGGCGCGCAAAUUACCCACUCUCGGCAUGAGGAGGUAGUGACGAAAAAUAACGAGACCGUUCUCUCUGAGGCCGGUUAUCGGAAUGGGUACAAUUUAAACCCGUUAACGAGGAUCUAUGAGAGGGCAAGUCUGGUGCCAGCAGCCGCGGUAAUUCCAGCUCUCAAAGUGUAUAUCGUCAUUGCUGCGGUUAAAAAGCUCGUAGUUGGAUCUGCGCCUCAGGACUUGGUCCGCCCACUGGGCGAGAACUGGGCUCCUGGGCUAGUACUGCUGGUUUUCCCUACGUUGCCUUCAUCGGUCGCGUAGGGUGGCUAGCGAGUUUACUUUGAAAAAAUUAGAGUGCUUCACGCGGGCUUAUGUCUGAAUACUCGUGCAUGGAAUAAUAGAAUAGGAUCUCGGUUCUAUUUUGUUGGUUUUCUGAUCUGAGAUAAUGGUUAAGAGGGACGGACGGGGGCAUUCGUAUCGCUGCGUGAGAGGUGAAAUUCUUGGACCGUAGCGAGACGUCCGACUGCGAAAGCAUUUGCCAAGAAUGUCUUCAUUAAUCAAGAACGAAAGUCAGAGGUUCGAAGGCGAU
rnacentral:rRNA from 1 species